CUUCAUGAAGCUCAUCUCAGGACAUUUCAAGACAAUGAGACUCAUAUGCUCCUGGAAGCACCAGUCUACUUCAAGAGGAAUAUGGACAUUGAAGAGGCUCUUGAUGACUUGGUUAGCCUUUUGGUUAAGAAACUGUUCUUGCCUGGACUGCUUGAUGAACUAAACAUGCAGGACCCACGGAGAAAUGACCGCUAAACUUGCUUAAAGGAACUACAAUGUCAAAGUAACAUAAAAAGAUUAAUACAGUUACAUAAGAAUGGUAUAAGAAAAACAUAUGAGCUUGUACAUUAUCCAAUGCAAAACUGAGGACAGAAGCCUAUGAUUAUAAAUUAUAGCUAACAGUACACUGUGGAGAAAACUUUACAUAUAAAAGACACUGAGAUCUGUUCAUCCUUUCAUUAUUUAAGUAUGAGGUACUGCCAUCUCUGCAUAUGUUUCUGUGUUCCAUAAGAAAGCAGGCUGAAAAAGACAAGAUGAGGAAGCGACUAAGGAACAUUUCUCUAUGGCCUCUGCAUCAGCUCCUGUCUCCUGGCUCCUGCCCUGUUUGAGUUCUUUCUCUGACUUCCUUCAGUGAUGAACAGUUAUAUUGAAUUGCCUUCUGUGCUAGACUGGGACUGUGAUGAUCCAGCCUUACAGACUGAGAAGAAGCUGAACUCACUAGCGAAGCUUCACCAGCAUGAAGACAGCCAAUUUGUGCCACUAUAAGAAAUGUUCUUUGUAAUAAGUAAAGCCAAAAUGCUGCUGCCAAGAGAAAAUGAAUAGCGUCUUUGAGAUAUCCACAAACAUCGGGUGUGGAUGAGGAAGCUUACUCUGAAAGACAGAGUUUUGUCUAUUUGCUGGAUUAAAACUGUUCUCAACAAA